rnacentral:rRNA from 1 species
UGUCGCUGAUGGAUGGACCCGCGGUGCAUUAGCUAGUUGGUGAGGUAACGGCUCACCAAGGCGACGAUGCAUAGCCGACCUGAGAGGGUGAUCGGCCACAUUGGGACUGAGACACGGCCCAAACUCCUACGGGAGGCAGCAGUAGGGAAUCUUCGGCAAUGGACGAAAGUCUGACCGAGCAACGCCGCGUGAGUGAAGAAGGUUUUCGGAUCGUAAAACUCUGUUGUUAGAGAAGAACAAGGAUGAGAGUAACUGUUCAUCCCUUGACGGUAUCUAACCAGAGAGCCACGGCUAACUACGUGCCAGCAGCCGCGGUAAUACGUAGGUGGCAAGCGUUGUCCGGAUUUAUUGGGCGUAAAGCGAGCGCAGGCGGUUUCUUAAGUCUGAUGUGAAAGCCCCCGGCUCAACCGGGGAGGGUCAUUGGAAACUGGGAGACUUGAGUGCAGAAGAGGAGAGUGGAAUUCCAUGUGUAGCGGUGAAAUGCGUAGAUAUAUGGAGGAACACCAGUGGCGAAGGCGGCUCUCUGGUCUGUAACUGACGCUGAGGCUCGAAAGCGUGGGGAGCAAACAGGAUUAGAUACCCUGGUAGUCCACGCCGU